rnacentral:rRNA from 1 species
UACGAAGGGGGCUAGCGUUGCUCGGAAUCACUGGGCGUAAAGCGCACGUAGGCGGCUUCUUAAGUCAGGGGUGAAAUCCUGGAGCUCAACUCCAGAACUGCCUUUGAUACUGGCGAUCUUGAGUCCGGGAGAGGUGAGUGGAACUGCGAGUGUAGAGGUGAAAUUCGUAGAUAUUCGCAAGAACACCAGUGGCGAAGGCGGCUCACUGGCCCGGUACUGACGCUGAGGAGCGAAAGCGUGGGGAGCGAACAGG